rnacentral:rRNA from 1 species
UAGCAUAUCAAUAAGCGGAGGAAAAGAAACCAACAGGGAUUGCUCUAGUAACGGCGAGUGAAGCAGCAAUAGCUCAAAUUUGAAAUCUGGCGUCUUCGACGUCCGAGUUGUAAUUUGUAGAGGAUGCUUCUGAGUAACCACCGACCUAAGUUCCUUGGAACAGGACGUCAUAGAGGGUGAGAAUCCCGUAUGCGGUCGGAAAGGUGCUCUAUACGUAGCUCCUUCGACGAGUCGAGUUGUUUGGGAAUGCAGCUCUAAAUGGGAGGUAAAUUUCUUCUAAAGCUAAAUAUUGGCCAGAGACCGAUAGCGCACAAGUAGAGUGAUCGAAAGAUGAAAAGCACUUUGGAAAGAGAGUUAAAAAGCACGUGAAAUUGUUAAAAGGGAAGGGAUUGCAACCAGACUUGCUCGCGGUGUUCCGCCGGUCUUCUGACCGGUCUACUCGCCGCGUUGCAGGCCAGCAUCGUCUGGUGCCGCUGGAUAAGACUUGAGGAAUGUAGCUCCCUCGGGAGUGUUAUAGCCUCUUGUGAUGCAGCGAGCGCCGGGCGAGGUCCGCGCUUCGGCUAGGAUGCUGGCGUAAUGGUCGUAAUCCGCCCGUCUUGAAACACGGACCAAGGAGUCUAACAUCUAUGCGAGUGUUCGGGUGUCAAACCCCUACGCGUAAUGAAAGUGAACGGAGGUGAGAACCGCAAGGUGCAUCAUCGACCGAUCCUGAUGUCUUCGGAUGGAUUUGAGUAAGAGCAUAGCUGUUGGGACCCGAAAGAUGGUGAACUAUGCCUGAAUAGGGUGAAGCCAGAGGAAACUCUGGUGGAGGCUCGCAGCGGUUCCUGACGUGCAAAUCGAUCGUCAAAUUUGGGUAUAGGGGCGAAAGACUAAUCGAACCAUCUAGUAGCUGGUUCCUGCGA